GGAUGUGAAGGCGAUCUGGCUGUGAUAUCUGUUACCGCAUAGAUGGCCAGAGUUGAUUCAGCUGAUCUGGCUCACUAGGUGUGUGUCCCCUUCCUCCCUCAUUGCUCUAUGUACGUCCCUCCAGAAGCUGCAUGUUUGGUCAAAGAGGACAACCCUCCCAGAUAGAGGACCAUUAUUCCAUCAAGGGUAUAGGUGUAGCUGCAGUCCCCUGCUAGAAUCUACAAACAAGCUCUCGAAGUGGUGUGAAAAAUACAUUUUUCUUGCAUGCGUUGCAACGGAGGUGGAGAUUAUAAAUGCAGACAGUCCUCAGGUUACAGACGACUUGACU
rnacentral:snRNA from 1 species